rnacentral:rRNA from 1 species
UGAUAAGCCGGAGGAAGGUGGGGAUGACGUCAAGUCCUCAUGGCCCUUACGGGNUGGGNUACACGCGUGNUACAAUGGCGGUGACAGAGGGAUGCGAAGGCGCGAGCCUUGGCAAAUCUCAAAAAGCCGUCUCAGUUCGGAUUGGGGUCUGCAANUCGACCCCAUGAAGCUGGAAUCGCUAGUAAUCGCAGAUCAGCACGCUGCGGUGAAUACGUUUCCCGGGCCUUGUACACACCGCCCGUCACACCAUGGGAGUUGGUUU